rnacentral:rRNA from 1 species
CAGCAGCCGCGGGAAUACGGAGGGUGCAAGCGUUAAUCGGAAUUACUGGGCGUAAAGAGUGCGUAGGUGGUUUGGUAAGUUAUCUGUGAAAUCCCUGGGCUCAACCUGGGCAGGUCAGAUAAUACUGCUGAACUCGAGUAUGGGAGAGGGUAGUGGAAUUUCCGGUGUAGCGGUGAAAUGCGUAGAGAUCGGAAGGAACACCAGUGGCGAAGGCGGCUACCUGGCCUAAUACUGACACUGAGGCACGAAAGCGUGGGGAGCAAACAGGAUUAGAUACCCGGGUAGUCCCUGUCUCUUAUAC